rnacentral:sRNA from 1 species
AAAAAUUCAAAUAUAAAAUAUCAUAGAAAGCAUGAAGCUUGUUCUUUUAUUUCCUUUGUUUGAUUACGUCUUCUUAUAGGUAUCUAAAAAAGUGGCAGAUUUAAUCCUUGAAAAACAGCCUGCUUAUGUAAAGGAACUUGAAAGAGUUACCUCAUUGCAGACAGGUCUUCAAUUAGCUGCUGUUAUCUGUACAAAUGGGAGAAGACACUUGAAUAUUGCAAAGGAAGGUUUUACUCAAGCUAGUUUAGGCCUUCUUGCAAAUCAAAGGAAACGUCAGUUGCUGAUUGGACUUCUGAAAUCUCUGAGAACUAUAAAAACAUUGCAAAGAACAGAUGUACGGUUAAGUGAAAUGCUGGAGGAGGAAGAUUAUCCAGGAGCUAU